GGACUCACACGCUCAGGUACACUCAUACACACUCACACACUCCUACACACACUCAAAUACCCCUGGACUCACACGCUCAGGUACAUUCAUACACACUCACACACUCCUACACACACUCAAAUAGUCCCGGACUCACACGCUCAGGUACACUCAUACACACUCACACACACUCCUAUACACACUCAAAUACUCCUGGAUUCACACACUCAGGUACACUCAUACACACUCACACACUCCUACACACACUCAAAUAGUCCCAGACUCACAUGCUCAGGUAUACUCAGAUACACUCAGACACACUCCUACACACAAAUACUUCCAGACUCACAUGCUCAGGUACACUCAGACACACUCACACACACUCCUACACACACUCAAAUACUCCCGGACUCACAUGCUCAGGUACACACAGACACACUCACACACACUCCUACAUACAAACA